rnacentral:tRNA from 1 species
GCCUAGUUAGCUUAGUUGGUAGUGCGUCUGCCUUGUAAGCGCUAGGUCGCCGGUUCGAUUCCCGCCCGGGGCG